UGAAAGCCAGGCCACUGACUGAAUGAUUAAGUCUGUGCUGGACAUGACAAUGAAUUUAACCCUCUUGCCAGCCUAGGAGAGCACACAGAUGCAGGAAGAGGAUUGAAAACCUACUUUUCAAUUUUCUCUUCUUCCUCACCCCUGCUCUAAUUUGCCUGACCUGUUUCCUUUCAAAACCUUGCUGUUAUCAGUACCUUGUCCAUUUUCACUCUGUUUCUCUUUGUAGACUAAUUCCUUGCUGCUUCCUCAUGGGAGAUAAACUCAUGCUCAUGUAAGAAGAACAUCUGUCUUGGGCUAGGAGGAGCACAGGAAGAUGCCUUUAUCUCAAGAGCUAGGAAAUAAGGCAACUGUAUUAAAUUGUCAAGGGAGGACAGCAGACCAACAAGGAUGAAGAAGCUUGAAAAAUUCUUCAUUGCAGGGUCCACUCAUUGUCUCUAAUGAUUUGCUGCUCCUCAAAAGAAUGUCUACACUCCCGAUCGCCCCUUUUGCCAUGAGAAAAGUUGAUUUUCACUGAACCUUCAGAGGGUGAAGAGGAAGCUUUUCCUUGACUUCUACACAGGCUGGAAAUAAAUAACCUCCGCUUAGGACACCCCUGGCAGGGGCUUUCCAAACCACUUCCAACCCUGGAGAGAAAGAUAAUGAUGUGCCCAAACAACACAUCUGCAGAUGUUCCGUGGAGCAUCAUCACCAAAAAUGCACACGAAACUGCCACUAGAAGCAAAUGGAGGAAGCACACAGCAGGACUGGGUGUCUUUAAUUGCCAUUGCGAACGUGUGUCCAUCUGCACCACGUGAAUGAUUUGCGGCACAGCCGGGACCUGGCUCAGUUCUCUUGACACAUACAUCAACUCACAAGCACUGAAGUGGCAAGGCUGUUUGCAGAAGACAUUUAAGGCAAAAAUAGAUUGCAUCUUAAAAUCUCCUUACAGGACAUAGGUGGCACAUUGAAGAAAGCUUCAAUGCAACAAUAAUUUACAAUAACAUGGGCACAGUAAUGGAAAACAGCAAAGAACUGUGAGGAACUUUGCUGGCACUUUUUCCAGGGCCAGCAGCUGGAAAGAGGGGCCACAAAACAUCAGCAAGGAAACUGCUGUUCUAAAAGAAAGACACAAGAAGCUGUGCUUCCAGAAGAGAAAAGUAGUCACUGCCACCCCAGGAACCUGGCAUGGAGGGAUGCAGUGGUGUAAUACCACUCUCUCCUUGCACCACCCACAAGCCCAGCCCAUCCUGGGGACAGACGCAUGCUGAAAGUGGAGGUCGGGUCUGGAAGGGCAAAAGCAGAUGGCCCAGCAUAGCCCACCACUUUUCUUUGUCAACAUCAAGUAUUUCUGUGUCUGUACGAAAAACCAAGGUUCUGUCCCAGGGAAAUGACGGAGUCCCAUCAGCUACAGGAUCAUAACAAGGAGAUGUCAAUUCAGUCAUACUCGCCUGAAAGCUACAGCACCUUGAACGGUUCACCCAACCACCUCAUCUGCAUGUGGUUCUCGUGGCACGUAAAGCCCUAACUGGGUGGUCUCAGUUUCACACCGCUAUGACUUUGUUUUCUGCUGGAAGCAGUUCCCCUUAUCACCAGAGCCUCCAAACCUAGAAAAGCCAAGAAAGCAGAGAUGGAAGCAAUUCCUGAUGUGGGCUAUUUGGGGCAAAACUGGUAUCUCCCCUUAUGUCCCCCGUGAGUAAGCAUUCCACAGACAGUUUCAAAACAUUAUGUUGUAUACUGAUGUACACCAGAAAUAAUAAAACCAUCAGAAUUC